CAGGAGGUCCUGGGUUCAAAUGUGACCUCAGACACUUCCUAACAGUGUGACCAUGGACUUAAGGCACUUAACCCCUAUUGCCUUAAUCUUGGAACCAAUAUUCCGAUUGAUGCUAAGAUGGAAGAUAUUAAACUUUUGGUGAAAACAACGUUGUCAGGGGCUUUUAAGAAGGAAUUUCAAACCUUAAAUACUAUCAGCAAGAUCACAACAGGAAAGACAAAAUAGCAUCAUUUUAAAAUCAGUACAAUAAUAGAGAAGAAAGUUUGGAGACGAAAGUGAUGAACUGUUUAACAAAUUUAAUAAAAGGAAACAAGGUCUGGAGAAGAAAGAGGAU
rnacentral:lncRNA from 1 species